rnacentral:rRNA from 1 species
UACGUAGGGUGCGAGCGUUAAUCGGAAUUACUGGGCGUAAAGCGUGCGCAGGCUGUUUUGUAAGUCAGAUGUGAAAUCCCUAGGCUCAACCUAGGAACUGCGUUUGAAACUACAAGGCUAGAGUGUAGCAGAGGGGGGUAGAAUUCCACGUGUAGCAGUGAAAUGCGUAGAGAUGUGGAGGAAUACCAAUGGCGAAGGCAGCCCCCCUGGGUUAACACUGACGCUCAUGCACGAAAGCGUGGGGGAGCAAACAGG